GAGUGGAUUAAUCCAUUCAUAGAUUAAUGGAUUAAUGAAUUAAAGGGUUGUUUUGGGAGUGGCUGGCUUUAUGACAGGAAGAGAGGCCUGUGCCUGCCCAGUGAGCUCUCUCCCCACAAGAUGCCCUGUGCUGUCAUGAGACUCUGCAGUGUCCCUACCAGCAGGAAGGCUCUCCCCAAAUGCAGCCCCUUGACCCUGGACUUCCCAGCCUCCAGAACUUGAGAAGAGGAACAAAUGGAGGAACAUCCCAGUCAAGUGACAUUCCUAGUGACAUUCACCAGAACAGAGUCAAGCUUUGGAUCCCAUGUUCUGUGACUUCCUCUUCACCACGCUUCCUCCACACACGUAGCAGCUCAAGGGUUUCUGAUGAGUGGGGUCUAUGUUCCCUUUAUGAGCUGUAACGCACACCAUGAAGGUCUGCGGCUUGGCUAUUGAGUCAGUGAGAGCGUGAACCUACUAUUAGAAGAAAAACUCUGAAUACGUCUGAACGUCAGAAAGAACGAAGUUUGGACACAUUGUCUUUAAGAACUGUAACACUCACCCCAAGGGUUUAUGGAUUCAUUCUUGAAAUCAGUGAAACCAAAAGCUUUCCAAAGUUUAACACACAGGGAAAUGACUUACUGCAAAGAACCACUCUUCCCCACGAGACUUCGAGAAGACCCGCUGUCACGGACUGAGUUGUGUCCUCUUAAAAUUCAGAUGUUGGAGUCCAAACCCCCAGUAACUCAGAGUGUGAACGUAUUUGAAGAGGUCUUUAAAGAGGUGAUGAAGGGAGAGAGACCCCAUGAGCUCGUCAAGCUCCUUCUGUGACUGAUCAGAGAUCCCACCGUGAGUCCAGCUCCUGGUCCCAUGCUCUGGAUAUAUCGGUCCCUGGCAGCGUGCAACUCCUUAGCCAAAGACGUGGCAACUGCGGGUGAAGUAUCUCUGGGCAGGAAAUCAAUGCAGAAAUGCAACUGGGGAGAGGGGGCUUGGGGGCCAGUUCCAGGGAGAUUGGAACUGCUGUGUUCUCAUCAGCAGAAGUGGCCCCUGCCCACCCCCAUCCUAAUCCCUUCUCAUGUGGGAGAAGGUCUGUGAGCCCUCUCCCUACCAGGCAGGUUCUAUGGCAAUGUGGGCACAUACCCUGGGGCAGGGGCCGAGGGACUUAACUCACUUCAUGAGCGCCAAUGGAGGAGCGAAGGGAAUGCCUGAUGAAAACAACAUUCUACCAGUAUGCACUGUUUUCUAACCUACAGAGUGCCUCUGUGUUCACUGUCCCAUUUGAGAAUUCUAAGUAGAAUUCUGAACAGGCUGGAGCAGAUUGCCCACCCCAAGGGACAGAUGUUGGCUGGUACUGUUGGUAUUCAUGGAAGAUUCCUUCUGACACUCCCUCCUUCUUUGUAAUUGCCAUGAACUGGAGCACUGGGCCAAUAUAAAUCAUCCAAGGGUGAACACGCUGCACAUGGACGGCUCCUCUUUGUUUUUGAAGGGAUUCCAUCUCUAUUUUGCCAUGUGCUCCUUCACCCCACUCCCCACCCCCGUCUUUCAUUUCUUUCUCUGGAAAAGAUACUUCAACUCACAGGACUGCGAUGUUGAAACGGACACCCAAGAGCAUCACAGAUGGGCCAGGCCUGGACCUCUCGGGACAACAUUCCUCACGACUUUUAGAUAGAAGAGAUUAGAGAUUUGGGACUGGUGGCAACUGGUAACGUUUUCAGUGUUUGGUAAACAGCCAGGGUCCGGAGCUCUGGGAACAGCCUGAUUUAGCUCUUUGUUUAAGUUUUGUGUUAGAGGCUCCCAAGAAGCUGAUGCAGGGGAAAGAAAUUAACAACCAUGGCUCAUUCACAGCCAGGCAGCCAAAUGGACAGCUCUAUAAGACUCAAGCCGACAGCGGAGAGAGUGCAACCAAACAGCCUUGGCCCAGCUUUCAGAGGAGAACGUUAUUCACCCCAACUGCUCUGCAUCUGCCUGGAUGUCUGCCAAGAUCUGUGAGCAUUACAGCGUUGGUAUGCUUUGGGUGAGGCCUGUGGCUAUGGCAACAAGUUGGGAGCAACCCGGUCCCUGGGAAUGAGAACAGUGUCUAAAAUCAGGCAGGCGAGGGGCAGGGAGGAGAGGUAAAGGUUGGACUUGCCUGAAGAUGGAGCCGUUUUAUUGUUGUGGGUAAAGCUGCUACCAUUAGGGGCUGUUUACAGAGUGGGUGCAGCUCAAGCUGGGAGCAUGUUAGACUCAGCGACUACGAUCAACCUAUUGACUUGUUCCCAUGAGACAGAGUAAAUUAACUGUUGCAGUACUGGUCAUGUACCACCAACCUCCUGUGAACCAGCCCUCAGUGAAACAUUUAUGUGAAAGGCCAUGGUGUUCCCAUAAGAGGGUGCAUGUUCUCUCCCUUGACUAACUCUUCAGUAUGCCUCAUUCUCACGCGCUGGUGUGCAGGAAGGAGUCCAACAUGCCCCAUUGACAGUCAUGCCCUGUAUGUGGAAAGUCUUCAGGUAGAGCACUGGGCUCAGGUUUGAAGAUGUGAGUUCUAAUCCUAGCAAGGCCAUUACCUCCCAGUGACCUCAUGUCUCGAUUUCCUCAACCACAAAACAAAGGCAUUGGUGAGCUGACCUCUAAGGCCUCUCCAGUUCUCACCUUCUGUGUCUCUACAGACUGGAGACUAGAAGAUUAUGGGCACUUUUAUUGAGUCUUCAUUUUGUUUCCAUUUCUUUGUAGUCAUCAGCUGGAGUUGAGGACAAGUUUUAACAAUAGAUAGGUUUCUUUUUGUCUCUUUUUAAAAAAUUUUAUUUAAAAUAAAUGCCAAGUGUAGUGGCUCAUACCUGUAAUCCCAGCACUUUGGGGAGGCCAAGGUGGGAGGAUUGCUUUUGAGUUUGAGACCAGCCUGGGCAACGUGGUGAGACCCUGUUUGUACAAAAAAUUUUAAAUUAGCCAGGCAUGGUGGCGUGUGCCUAUAGUCCUAGCUACUCUGGAGGUAGAGGCAGGAGGAUCCCUUGAACCUGGGAGGUUGAGGCCACAGUGAGCUGUGAUUGUGCUAUUGAACUCUAGCCUGGGCAACAGAGCAAGACCCUGUCUCUUAAAAAAGACUAUUUUUUAAGAACACUUUUAGGUUCACAGCGAAAUUUGGAGGAAACUUGGCAUAUGUCAUAUGCCCCCUGCUCCCAUGCAUGCACAGCCUCUACCAUUAGCAAUGUCCCCACUCAAAUGGUACCUUUGUUGUAAUCAACAACCCUGUACUGACACAUCAUCAUCACCCAAACUCCAUAGUUCACAUUAGGUUUCACUCUUGGUGUGGUGUACAUUCCAUGGGCUUGAACAACUGUAUAAUGACAUUAUCCACCACUGCAGGAUCAUACAGAGUAGUCUCACUGCCCUAAAACUACUCUGUGCUCCACCUGUUUGUCCCUUCUUUCACUCUAAACUCCUGGCAACAACUGACCUUUUUACUGCCUCGAUAGCUUUGCCUUCUUCGGAAUGUCAUGUAGUUGAAAUCAUACAUCAUGAAGCCUUUUCAGAUUGGCUUCAUAUAGGUUUCCUUCCUUCCUUCCUCCCACCACCUUCCUUUCUUUCUGUAUUCCUAACUCUUGGAUGUAUUUUCCCCAGCAUCAUGACUUGAUGGGACUUUUGCUAAGAUAGGCAAUCAUAGAAAGUCAUAAAUCUCUUGUCAGCCUUAUUGGCUCACCUCCGAGAUGGUUCCAACACUCUUUAAGGCCCACUUUUCCAAUCCACAGAUUCCCCAGCAGAAGUCCAAGCUGCUGAGCCUCACAUCAUCUUUUGCACUAGUAAUCUUUACCACUACUUCACUGUAGCAUUUGAAAAUUUUCAUAUGAAGCCAUAGUUCUGUGUCUUUUUUUUUUUUUUUUUUUUUUUGGAGACGGAGUCUUAACCUGUUGCCCAGGCUGGAGUGCAGUGGCACAGUCUUAGCUCACUGCAAGCUCCGCCUCACGGGUUCAAGUGAUUCUUGCCUCAGCCUCCCAAGUAGCUGGGAUUACAGGCGCGCCACCAUGCCCAGCUAAAUUUGUUGGCAUUUUUAGUAGAGAUGGGGUUUCACCAUGUUGGCCAGGCUGGUCUCAAACUCCUUACCUCAGGUGAUCUGCCUGCCUCAGCCUCCCAAAGUGCUGGGAUUAAAGGUGUGAGCCACCGCACCUGGCCUGAAGCCAUAGUUCUUAACCUCAGUUGUGCAAUAGAAUUAUCUGGGGAAUUUAAAAAUUAGAAAAAACCCAUGCCCUGAAGAUUGUGAUCUAACUGGUCUUGCGUAGCGCCUGGGCAUUGGUAUUUUUUAAAUGUUUCCCAACUGAUACUAAUGUGGCCAUUCUGCAAGCCACAGUUGAAAGGCUUAUUCAAGCAUCCUGUUGCUGAAUGCAUGUCGUCCUUACCACAUGACUCUGGAGGUUUUCUUGUAUUCUGAUGUGGCUGCCCUGUUGAGGCCUGCCCCUUAGAGUGGAGAUUAUCCCCUGCAGUAGGCUGCCUGGAAUAUGAUCCCCAGUGAUCCCUGCUUCCUGGUAUUCAGGCCCUGGUGUGAUCCCUUUCCCUUGAAGCCUGGGCUGGAUUAGUGACUUGCUUCUAACCAACAGCAUAUGGCAAAAAUAAAUGUUUAUUGUUUUAAA
rnacentral:lncRNA from 1 species